rnacentral:tRNA from 1 species
GAGGGAUUCGAACCCUCGGUAAACAGAAGCUUACAUAGCAUUUCCA